rnacentral:rRNA from 1 species
UACGAAGGGGGCUAGCGUUGUUCGGAAUUACUGGGCGUAAAGCGCGCGUAGGCGGAUUUUUAAGUCAGGGGUGAAAUGCCAGGGCUUAACCUUGGAACUGCCUUUGAUACUGCAAGUCUGGAGUACGGGAGAGGUGAGUGGAAUUCCGAGUGUAGAGGUGAAAUUCGUAGAUAUUCGGAGGAACACCAGAAGCGAAGGCGGCUCACUGGCCCGAUACUGACGCUGAGGCGCGAAAGCGUGGGGAGCAAACAGG